GACGAACGCUGGCGGCGUGCUUAACACAUGCAAGUCGAACGGAAAGGCCUUGCUUUUGUGGGGUGCUCGAGUGGCGAACGGGUGAGUAACACGUGAGUAACCUGCCCUUGACUUUGGUAUAACUUCAGGAAACUGGGGCUAAUACCGGAUAGGAGCUCCUGCUGCAUUGUGGGGGUUGGAAAGUUUCGGCGGUUGGGGAUGGACUCGCGGCUUUUCAGCUUGUUGGUGGGGUAGUGGCUUACCAAGGCUUUGACGGGUAGCCGGCCUGAGAGGGUGACCGGCCACAUUGGGACUGAGAUACGGCCCAGACGCCUACGGGAGGCAGCAGUGGGGAAUAUUACACAGUGGGCGGAAGGCUGAUGCAACAACGCCGCGUGCGUGAUGACGGCCUUCGGGUUGUAAACCGCUUUCGCCUGUGACGAAGCGUGAGUGACGGUAAUGGGUAAAGAAGCACCGGCUAACUACGUG
rnacentral:rRNA from 1 species